GGCAGAUAAACAUAUCUCUUGUAAAGUUUCUGUAAAUUAGUGUAGCUCCAGUAACUAUGUCCACAACUCUGGUUAACUUGCGUUUAACUUGCGUUAUACUGCUGGUCGGGGUUUUGUGAUAUUGUUUGUGAGAGGAGCUGGACAGUUGUACAAGUGAGAAAAGAGGACCACGAAUAAAUGCUGUUGAGGACAGGGCACCUGACCUCCUGGUGAAAUUCCUCGGGACUGUUGCGCCUUUUCACUUGGACUCCACCCUCCGGCCCAUCAUCCAUCCCCUCCUCGCUCCCAACACCACAUCUCAUCAGCCUGUGUAAACUAAGUUGAAGAUUGGAGUACUGUCCUCAGAAAGAUGAGAAAGAAAUACCUUACAAUCAGAGCCACUGCAUAGCAUUUGGGAAUUGCAAAGUCAACCAAAUGAAAUGACUUGAAAAAGAAAGAAACUACAGGAGGUCUAAGCAAUCCACAAUGACCAGGUCAUCCCAGGACUAUUGCAAUUGAUGAUAGAAAACCCAUUAGAGCUGUGAAGAAAAGCCACACUAACAGCCCAAGGCAUCACAGACAAUUUCCAGUCUCCAGGUGUGAAACUGUCAGAGCUCACCAUUGGCAGAAGACUACCAAAGAAGAAAUACAAAAGCUACACUGCAAGAUGCAAGCCUUUCAUCAGCACCACGAACAGAACCAAAUGCACAAGAAAGAGAGAAACUGUAAGAACACCUCCUCAUCUGUGGAGUUUUGAGGAGGCAGUUUCAGGGAUGAGGCAUGCAUGGCUGCCCCUGGACUUGGCUCACUGGCUUUUAUUGAUGUUGUUGCUGAUGAUGGAAGCAGUGUGAAGAGUACAUAAAGAUUUUGUCGGCCCACGUCCAAAAAAUGCCUCAAGGCUCAUCGGAUGGAAAUUGCAGUGCAGCAACAAUGAUCCAAAACAUCCCGCAUGCGUAAUCAAGGAGUUCAUCUGGAAGAAAAGGUGGCAACAUUUUAACUGGCCAAGUCAAUCUUCUGAUUUAGAUCCUAUUGAGCAUGUAUUUCACUCGCUGAAGAGGAAAAUCAAGUCAGAAAACCCACAAACAAACAACUGAAGUAGGAGUUAGUUGCAGUGCAAACUCGGCAGAACAUCUCAAAGUUAAAUGCCAGGCAUAUUUAUGUUAAUCAGUCAUAGACUUCAAGCCAUUAUUGCAUGUAAGGAGUAUAUUAGCUAAACUAUUACACUGUUUUAACUUGCUUUAAUUUUCCCCAAUACUUGGUUUCACUUGAAAUACAGGAAACUAAAUACAAUGCUGAGGGUUUGUUUAUUCAUGGAUAAGCCAUUCACUUGAGUGAAAUUUUAAAGUAAAUGAGAGGAAUCAGUUCACCAAUGGAACCAAAUCAGAAUUUAAGAUCAGCUCAAUAUCUGUUGUUGGACUGCACUGAAUGCAUUUGUGAGUAAAUCAACGCAUUUGUAAACACAUGAUGAGCUCAUUUGAGACAAAAGCAGCUACUUUCCUACCUUGGUAAUGACUGCAGGGCUGGCACUGGCUCCUCUCCAAAAAUGGGCUUUAUCAAUUUCAUUUUCAUUGCUUUUGUAUGGGUUAGUAGUUCAGUUACUACUGUGUAUUGGAGAGCAUCUCAGGCUGAAUAAAACCCAUCCAU